CCUACGGGAGGCUGCAGUGGGGAAUAUUGGGCAAUGGGCGCAAGCCUGACCCAGCAACGCCGCGUGAAGGAAGAAGGCUUUCUGGUUGUAAACUUCUUUUCUGAGGGACGACGAAAGUGACGGUACCUCAGGAAUAAGCCCCGGCUAACUACGUGCCAGCAGCCGCGGUAAUACGUAGGUGGCAAGCGUUAUCCGGAUUUAUUGGGUGUAAAGGGCGUGUAGGCGGGAAAGCAAGUCAGAUGUGAAAACUCAGGGCUCAACCCUGAGCCUGCAUGUGAAACUGUUUUUCUUGAGUGCUGGAGAGGCAAGAGGAAUUCCGGGUGUAGCGGUGAAAUGCGUAGAGAUACGGAGGAACACCAGUGGCGAAGGCGGAUAGCUGGACAGUAACUGACGCUGAGGCGCGAAAGCGUGGGGAGCAAACAGGAUUAGAUACCCUUGUAGUC
rnacentral:rRNA from 1 species